AGCGAACGCUGGCGGCAGGCCUAACACAUGCAAGUCGAACGAACCUUUCGGGGUUAGUGGCGGACGGGUGAGUAACACGUGGAAACGUGCCUUUAGGUUCGGAAUAACUCAGGGAAACUUGUGCUAAUACCGAAUGUGCCCUUCGGGGGAAAGAUUUAUCGCCUUUAGAGCGGCCCGCGUCUGGUUAGCUAGUUGGUUGAGGUAAUGGCUCACCAAGGCGACGAUCAGUAGCUGGUCUGAGAGGAUGAUCAGCCACAUUGGGACUGAGACACGGCCCAAACUCCUACGGGAGGCAGCAGUGGGGAAUCUUGCGCAAUGGGCGAAAGCCUGACGCAGCCAUGCCGCGUGAAUGAUGAAGGUCUUAGGAUUGUAAAAUUCUUUCACCGGGGACGAUAAUGACGGUACCCGGAGAAGAAGCCCCGGCUAACUUCGUG
rnacentral:rRNA from 1 species